UUUAUCUUCCAAGUAGUCUAGUCUGCUGGUGAUGGUUUCCAUUGAAUUUUUCAUUUACUUAUUAAUUCCUUUAUUUUCAGGAUUAUUGCUUGAUUUUUUUUUCAGAAUAUCUCUUAUUGAAGUGAUUUUUCACUUCCUGCAUGUUCUCUGAUUUCACUCCUUAUAUCAUCUUUUACCUUACAGAUUAGUUUAACUCUGAACUUUUUAAAAUUCCUUCUCUGACAUUUUCCCACUGUGGUAUCAGUAGAUUUCUGUUAUAGAAGUCUCUGGGUUUGUUUGGGGCAAUUUGUUCCCUUGCCUCCAUUUUUAUGUUAUUUUUUUAUGUUGUUUAUCUAUCCAACUAACAGUAUGGAUUUGAGGCAGCAGUGUUUCUAACCUGUGAACUUUCUUUGAAAGUUUCCAGUGCCUCACAGUUUAAGAGGAGACAAACAAUUAUAACAUCCAAAGCAAAUGAUUCACAGCAUUAAACCAAAUAGUUUCUGCUAUGGCAUCUACAAUGUUAAUGCACAGAAAUGAUGUGAUCAACUAUUGCCCACAGUAAAUACAUUAAGUCCGCAAAAGAGUUUGCAUUUUUUAAAGGUGAACAGGGAGAAGAGAAGAUAUGAUGUGAUGAUUCUGAUGGAGGAGGAGAGUAGAUUGAAGUAAAAAAUUAAAGAAAGAAUGAAAGAAAGAACACAGAGUUUGGCUAUUAGCAGAAGAAAAGAGAAAAAGAAUCAAGGGUAACAGCUGAGUGAGAGAGAAAAAUGCAAAACAAAACAUACAUUCAUCAAAUAUCCUAGCCCUCAACAGAGCAAUGAAAAAUAACUGCCUUCAAAAAAGUGCUAGAAAUUGUGUGUGUGUGUGGGGGGGGGGUUGACAACAAAUAUGUAUAAGUAUCCAUGAACCAUUCAGCUCACAGUUAAACAGGAAAAAAAAGUUCUCAAUGAAAAGGAAUUUUUUUCCAUUGCAUUGGUCAAAAAUAUUAAUCGAGAAUGUAUGUUUUUUGCCUAUUCCCAAAUGUCUCUUUCCAUUUCUUCUUGAGGUAUUUGUGUGUACAAGAGUAUUGAUCACAUUCUUCCUCUUUUUUAGUGGCUCGUCAAGUUGCCAGUUGGAGUUUAAAAAAUUCUCAGGUGUUGUUAGGUACAGUGAGCUGGAGUGUAAUGUGUGCUCCACCUUCAGGUUGGGGUUGCUUUAAUGUUCUGUAAGGAGUUCCUGUAGGUGGAGCUCCUGAAGGUGUGGCUUAGGUCCAGGUAGACUCCAGGUUCUUUGUUGAAUGGCAAUUGGUUUGAAGAUUUUAAAUCAGCACACCUCCAGGGCCCAGAAGUUGCUGGCCCUCACUGGGAAACUGCAUCCCAGGAAUCUCCCCUAGGUUCCAUUCAUUUGGCAGAAGAGCCAAUCCUUUGCCCCCUCCAUCACCCACAGGCUCUCUUUUUCCUGGACCUUGGGUGCAGUACCAAAAUUCAAUCAUUCGUGCCCCCCACCCUUUUGAAUUCCUGGCCAGGCACAGCCCUCACAGCUGGUCUUGUGAGACACUGGACUCAAGGGGGGAAGGGUGAUCUGGGUGGGUUUCCCUGACCCAUAUCCCUCUGUGUAAAACUCUCUCUGCAUCUGAUUUUCUCCUGGCAUUUUAGACAUACUAUAGAUUUUUAGACCUAGCUUCGUUUUGCCAGGACUUGGCACCCAUGGCUGCUGGCUGCUAUCAGGUAACUGCAAUAUGGCACCUGUUCUCUGUAGGAAGCCAGGAGAGAAGUGGCUUCUUUCCUUCACAAGAGUGUUGUGCAGCAGACCUUCUGGGUCAGUCCAGCAGUGUCUUUGAUCUCUACCUUUGAUCUUUCUAUGCCAAGAUAUACCACAGGUCUCCCUAAAAUAUGAGUUCCCUUCCUACCACUAUCCCUCUAUUUUGUCUGCAAAAGGACUGCUCUGGCAGGUGCUGGCAGCAGCAGUGGGGCAGGGGAUUUCUUCCAUAUUCUACAAAUAAAUCCCUAAUCUGCUUUGAAUGUCCAGUAUUAAUUCCAAGUAAAGUCCCCCUCCUUUUUUUCCUUACUCACUUUACUGAGAAGCUGCUUACCCACUUUCUUGGUCUCACAUUACUGAGCAGCCUGAAAAGUUACCGCCUCUAUUCCGCCAUCUUGAGCAUAUUCUCUGUUGUUAUCAUUGAGUUCUAGUAGUUCUCUAUUCUGGACAUUAAUCGCUUGUCAGAUUCAUGAAUAUUUUUUCACAUUUUUGACCAGCAUUUUGGUAUGUGUCUCUGUGCAUAUACAUAAGAAUUUCCUUAAUGCAGUAACUAGAGUAGAUUUGCUCUACUGUAGGGUAUGAACAUUUGUGCCUUCCAAGUAUGGUACUAAAAUGAUUUUCUAGUCUCUGAUUUCAUAUUCACUAUUUAUAAUUUCUUCUAAUGAACCAAGAAAUUUAAUUUCUUGAAGUUAUGGGCAUGUUAAUUUCUUACAGUUAUAGUUUGACUUGUUUUUUCUGAUUGGUUUUGAGUCACUUUGGAAAUGUUUUAUUUUUCUUGGAAAAUUGUCCAUUUCAACUAAAUUUUCAAGUUUAUUGGCAAAAAGCAAUUUACACCUAUGAGGGGAUAUCAGGUAAUGUCAGGUAUUUUCCAAGAGUGGUGACAUUUAUCCAUCAGGUCACAUAAUCACUCAGGAGUUAAUCUCAGAUUGUAAAGGAAUAAGAUCACAUUGUGUAGGGGAAAAAGGAUUUGAUAAAUCCUGUAAUAAUUCUGGAUCCAUAGCUUCCAGUCACUGCACUCUGGAAGGUGUAAAGGUAGAAUUUCCUACCAGGUAAUCUUUUAUUUACAUCCUUCCCAGCAAUGUGAUUUACUUAUCAAAUGGCAUUGUUAACAUAAGCAAUGUGCUUGGUAAACAUAGUUCAUAUUACAAAAGUCAUCUGCCAUUAUUUUUUUCAACUCCAAGGAACAGGUUUUCAGGAGAACAGAGCUAGAAUUUGCAUUUUCUUAUGAUUUUAAAUAAUUAAUGCAUUUAUAGUUCCCUUUUCAUUCCUAAAUUCUUUUCUUGACCAGUUUUACUUCGCAUUUGUCUGUUAGUCUGUAUAAAAUACAAUAUUUUAACUAUAUUUUCUAAUUCAUCAAUUCUGCCCUAUAUUUACUUGCUUUGAUGUCUUUUGAACAUUUGGUUAUAAAUUUUCCUCUAAGUACCUCUUUAGCUUCAUCCCACGAGUAUAGUAUGUGAGUUAGGUUCUUGCUUUCAUUAAGUUUUAGGCUUGAAUUUCCUUUAGUUUCUUAUCAACUAAUAGAUAUGAUUAAUUUUUUAAAAAAAUCAAAUCCAUCCACCCACUUUGGGGGUGGGGCAGGGAAUUGGCGCUAGGUAAUUAGCCAACCACAUUGCCAUAAAUAAAACAAAAAUUUUCUCCUACAUAUUCUUUACCUUUUACCUUUUACUUGUUCUUUUCCUUUUAUUUAUAUUGGUCUAUUUUUUAAAAAUAGAUAUUCUUAAGUUUUUACCACUGAAAACUGACAAAAUCUAACAUCAACCAAUAUGAUUUUCUUUCAAACAACACAAAGAAUUUCAGACUCUUAAAGCAAAAUUAUUCUUCUUCCUACAUGAUAUUACUAUUCAAAAUUUUAGUUUCACUCUUAUUUUUCUGUUUUUUUAAUUAAAAAAACUUUUUAUUUUGAAAUAAUUAUAGACUCACAAGAAGUUAUAAAGGGAAGUCCCAAGUACUCUUUAUUCAGUGUUAUCCAAUGGUUACAUCUUAAAUAACUAUGUAAAAUAUUGAAAACAGGAAAUUGGCAUGGGAAAACAUGUAUAUAUAAGUCUAUAUCACUUUAUCACAUAUGUAGAUUCAUAUAACUACCACUGAAAUCAAGAUACAGAAUGUUCUGUUAUCACAAAGUUCUUUCUCAUAUUAUUCCUUAAUAAUCACAACAUUCCUUUCUUUCCCAUCACUCCUCUCUUAUCCUUAACCCCUGGCAACCACCAAUACUCUGUGUUUUACUUAGCCUUUGCAUUGUUAUGCCCAAAAGACCUGAAAAGAACAACUAAGAUCAGAAAAAGUUAAUUUUGGCUCACCAUUUCAAAGUUCAGCCUAUGAUGGACUCACUCCAUGGCUCUGGGCCAGAGGUAACACUUUUGGCCUGAGUUCUAUUUGGAAGGUUUAAUAUAUUUUUGUUAUUAUACAUUACACUGGAUUGAAACUAUAACCAAGAAACUAUGUGGAUUUCUCUAUCGGAAUUAAGAACCAUUCUGGUCAAAAGAGAAGAGUAUUUUUGUAGAGAGCAUUAUGGGAUUACCUUGAAGAUUUGCCUUUGUGAUCUGCAAGGUGCUGUUCCCCUGCUUACAUUCCGUUACCCUGGCAACACACUCCUGUAAAAUAAAGAUUAUUAAAGCGCAUAUGAUUAUUUUGCUGCUGAGUGAAUAAGACAAGCCGCUUCUGAAAUGCCUUAUCAGAGAAAUUCAAUUUUAGACCAAAUUGUGUUUUUGCCUCCUUCUAGCUUUCUCCGCCCUCCCCCACUUCAAAUAAAACCAUCAUCUCCACAGUUA